rnacentral:lncRNA from 1 species
UUCUUCCCUGCUGCCUUUACUCCUUUUUUGGCUUAUCUUAGAAAUGAUUUAAGGCAACACGGGCCCUUGAUCUGUGAGGAGGGUGAGGCAGGACUGUUACUCUGUUCUGUGGAAUUCUAGAAACUUAUUUUGGGACUUUGGAGGUAUUCACUUUUUCCUAAGCUCUCAGAAUCAUUUUUGAGAAGCAGCCGAUGCUGCCAGCCAGAACAGCUGGGAGAAGCGCAGCGUCUAGGACGGCCUCUUUGCCGACACCCUGGGAUGGGUGCAUGCUCCCCCAUGUUUUAGAGAGGACUGCGGCUCUCAGCUCUGUGUGCUGGGAUGCUGUCUGUGACUUGCCUGAGAAAAUGCCUAUGGAAGGAGUGAGGGCCUCGUGAGGUCACGUCCAUGAAAGGACUGGGAGCUCGUCAGAGAAGAAGGGUGCUCUGAGGUCAUAGUAUAGCUGGUAAUCAGACUUCCCUUUGGUCCACAUCUCUACCCUGGCUGCCAGGAUUCACAGUGUGUGGAGGGACUGGGCCGUUGCUCCAGCCCCUCCAGCAGGUUAGUAGGCUCUGUGCCACUGUCCUCAGCAAAGUCUCCCUGAGCGGGGUCUGUGGGCUCUUCUCUCGGCCCCGCCUUCAACACCCACCUUUCUCAGCCUGGUGAGAAGGGAGAACAGAUGGCUUCCCCUCCACUGUCCCCCGCCCACGCUGUUGAAUGGGAUUUGAGAGUGGACGCCAGGUUCUAAAUCUGCCGUUCCGUCCAUCCUUGAGUGAGCGGCUGACCAGCUGCGGGGCCAUGCUCAGAGGGUCUUCGUGUUCCGCCGCAGGGCCCACUGGUCCUUGAGUGAGCGGCUGACCAGCUGUGGGGCCAUGCUCAGAGGAUCUUCGUGUUCUGCCCCAGGGCCCACUGGUUGGAGGCCCCUUUGGGAGUCAGAUAACAGAACUCUGCAGUCACGGCUGUGACCGACUCACGAUGUGGCAGAUGGGCUUCUGUGCUUUUUAGUUCUCAUUUCCUAAGAAGCAUCAGGUUUUAGCAGUAAUACGUAUGUAUUUUUUAAAAAUCCGAAAUCGGAAGCAGAAUUUAGCAAUCCCCCACCACUUCCUGUCUGUGUUCCCUCCCCUAACACCUGUAAUUCCUGGCACACAGUAGGUGGCUUAAAUAGGUCCUUGAAUUGGGGUUGGUGGGAAAAGGCACCAAGUCCAAUUGUCUUUCCAAGCCAUUUAAUUGGGCAGGAUUUUUUUUUAAUGUGGAAAUUUUUUUUAUCUGUUAUGUCUUUCCUAUUCUAUUUAUCUUGUCCUUGAUUUCAGCACCCCACCCUGCUUGCAGGCAGCAUUUUCUAAACUGUGUUCCAUGACCUGUUAAAAAGUCUUCUGAGGCCGGGCAUGGUGGCACACACCUGUGAUCCCAGCACUUUGGGAGGUCAAAGUGGAGAGACUGCUUGAGCUCAGGAGUUCGAGACCAGCCUGGGCAACACGGCAAAACCCCGUCUUUACCAAAAAAAUACCAAAAAAAUUAGCUGGCCAUAGUGGCAUAUGCCUGUAAGUCCCAGCUACUCAGGUGGCUGAGGUGGGAAGACCACUUAAGCUCCAGAGUCGGAGGCUGCAGUGAGCCGAGAUCACGCCACUGCACUCCAGCUUGGGCAACAGAGCAAGACCCUGUGUCAGGAAAAAAAGGGGGGCUGGGUGCUCAUGCCUGCAAUCCUAGCACUUUGGGAGACUGAGGCAGGUGGAUCACUUGAGGUCAGGAGUUUGAGACUAGCCUGGCCAACGUGGUGAAACCCCUCCUCUAC